UACUCCUACGGGAGGCAGCAGUAGGGAAUAUUGCUUAAUGGGCGCAAGCCUGAAGCAGCAACGCCGCGUGUGCGAUGAAGGCCUUCGGGUUGUAAAGCACUUUUGAUCGGGAAGAGGAAGGACGGUACCGGUCGAAUAAGCCUCGGCUAACUACGUGCCAGCAGCCGCGGUAAU
rnacentral:rRNA from 1 species